rnacentral:rRNA from 1 species
AUGAGUUCCUGCCUAGCCCACAUGAUCAGAGAUCAUUCCCUGGACUUUGUGUGUUUGCAAGAGACCCAUGAAAAAAGUUUUCUGGACAGUUAUUUUAGAAAGCUUGAUCCACACACAAUAAUUUAUUGGGACUGGAUCCCAGCAAAAGGUAAAUCAGAUGACAUCCUCUGUGGUGUUAAGAAGGAAAGAUUUGAAGUUAUAUCUUGGAGAAAAGGGAGGUUUACUCUUCAAGUCUGCUUCUAUGAUAUCAAAAUGCAGAAGGCUUGGACCUUAUGCACAGUUUAUGGUGCUGCCCAUGACUGUGAUAACGGAGAUUUUUUAGUUGAGGUUGCAGAUUUUUGCAACCACAUUCAAACCCGAUUCCUAAUUGGAGGGGACUUCAAUAUCCUCAGACAUACUGGAGAAAACAACCAAAACUGGCAUCACUCCACUUACACUGAUCUUUUCAACUCUGUUAUUAAUUCUAUGUGUCUGAAUGAGAUACACAUGCAUGGGGGGAUGUAUAUGUGGACUAAUAACCAAGCACACCCGACCUUGGAAAAAUUGUAUCGUGUGUUAAUGAAUAAUGAUUGGGAGGAUAUGUUCCCAUUAGACAAUGUUAAAAAACUUGUUAGGGACAUAUCGGACCAUAAUGCCCUCUUGGUGUCCUCGGACAAUCAUGUUGUUCGAGUCCCACACACAAGAGAGUUUAGGUUUGAGUUAAGCUGGCUCAAGUCUAAAGAUUCCAUUCCUUUGGAUGAUUUUUUUGGAAUAAACAUGUCAAUGCAUCCGAUCCAAAUGAUGUUUUGA